rnacentral:rRNA from 1 species
UACGGGGGGGGCAAGCGUUGUUCGGAAUUACUGGGCGUAAAGGGCUCGUAGGCGGCCAACUAAGUCAGCCGUGAAAUCCCUCGGCUUAACCGGGGAACUGCGUCUGAUACUGGAUGGCUUGAGUUUGGGAGAGGGAUGCGGAAUUCCAGGUGUAGCGGUGAAAUGCGUAGAUAUCUGGAGGAACACCGGUGGCGAAGGCGGCAUCCUGGACCAACACUGACGCUGAGGAGCGAAAGCCAGGGGAGCAAACGGG